rnacentral:rRNA from 1 species
UACGUAGGGGGCAAGCGUUAUCCGGAUUUACUGGGUGUAAAGGGAGCGUAGGCGGCGACGCAAGUCAGAAGUGAAAGCCCGGGGCUCAACUCCGGGACUGCUUUUGAAACUGCGUUGCUAGAUUGCGGGAGAGGCAAGUGGAAUUCCUAGUGUAGCGGUGAAAUGCGUAGAUAUUAGGAGGAACACCAGUGGCGGAGGCGGCUUACUGGACGGCAACUGACGGUGAGGCGCGAAAGCGUGGGGAGCAAACAGG